GAUUUAAUAAUUUAAUUUAAAAUUUUAAAUUGCAAAUUUAAAUUUAUCUUUUAUAGAUUUAAAUCU
rnacentral:tRNA from 1 species